UACGUAGGGUGCAAGCGUUAAUCGGAAUUACUGGGCGUAAAGCGUACGUAGGCGGAUUGUUAAGUGAGGGGUGAAAUCCCGAGGCUCAACCUCGGAACUGCCUUUCAUACUGGCAAUCUUGAGUCCGGGAGAGGUGAGUGGAACUCCUAGUGUAGAGGUGAAAUUCGUAGAUAUUAGGAAGAACACCAGUGGCGAAGGCGGCUCACUGGCCCGGAACUGACGCUGAGGUACGAAAGCGUGGGGAGCAAACAGG
rnacentral:rRNA from 1 species